GAUGAACGCUGGCGGCGUGCUUAACACAUGCAAGUCGAACGAUGAAGCCCAGCUUGCUGGGUGGAUUAGUGGCGAACGGGUGAGUAACACGUGAGUAACCUGCCCUUAACUCUGGGAUAAGCCUGGGAAACUGGGUCUAAUACCGGAUAGGAGCGUCCACCGCAUGGUGGGUGUUGGAAAGAUUUAUCGGUUUUGGAUGGACUCGCGGCCUAUCAGCUUGUUGGUGAGGUAAUGGCUCACCAAGGCGACGACGGGUAGCCGGCCUGAGAGGGUGACCGGCCACACUGGGACUGAGACACGGCCCAGACUCCUACGGGAGGCAGCAGUAGGGAAUAUUGCACAAUGGGCGCAAGCCUGAUGCAGCGACGCCGCGUGAGGGAUGACGGCCUUCGGGUUGUAAACCUCUUUCAGUAGGGAAGAAGCGAAAGUGACGGUACCUGCAGAAGAAGCACCGGCUAACUACGUG
rnacentral:rRNA from 1 species